rnacentral:piRNA from 1 species
UCAACGUCCACUUGAGUACCUGCGGCCUGC